AACGAACGCUGGCGGCAGGCUUAACACAUGCAUGUCGAGCGGGCCCGCAAGGGUCAGCGGCGGAUGGGUUAGUAACGCGUGGGUACGUGUCUUCUGCUCUUGAAUAGCUUUGGGAAACUGGGGGUAAUACUGGUUCUGCCCUUAGGGGGCAAGGUUUAUCUGGUAGGAGAUCGGCCCGCGUCUGAUUAGGAAGUUGGUGGGGUAAUGGACUACCAAGCCGACGAUCGGUAGCUGGUUUGAGAGGAUGAUCAGCAACACUGGGACUGAGACACGGCCCAGACUCCUACGGGAGGCAGCAGUGGGGAAUCUUAGACAAUGGGCGCAAGCCUGAUCUAGCCAUGCCGCGUGGGUGAUGAAGGCCUUAGGGUCGUAAAGCCCUUUCGCUGGGGAAGAUAAUGACGGUACCCAGUAAAGAAGCCCCGGCUAACUCCGUGCCAGCCGCCGCCGUAA
rnacentral:rRNA from 1 species